rnacentral:hammerhead_ribozyme from 1 species
AUUCAUCUGACGAGUCCCAAAUAGGACGAAAUGCGCGUCCUGGAU